UUUUACUCAGCGAAACGUGUUUCUGAAAACAUUUUAAGCGAGAAAUAGGCCAUGCAGUUGCUGAAUCUGUCUUCAUUUCAGAUCGACAAAGGUCAGUUUAAAAGAUUUUUGUCAGACUUUGAGAGACUCUAGUCCCGCUCAUCCCGCUCCUCUUUUCCGGGUUUGCGCUCCAUCAAUCAGAUUGGUCGUUUGAGUCCGACUGCCGAUUAUCAGGUUGGCGUGUCACCGCCCUAACAGAUGAUGCCCCCUAGAAUUUCCCCUCCCACCUGGAGGUCUGUCGGCUGCCAGCCUCGUUUUUCCAAUCCCAAGCCAACCUUUAGCCACUGGAAUGUGUUUGUCUAUUUACUUAAUGUAAUUUAGUCUUUAAUUAUGUUUGUUUAAUGAAUAUUUAAUUUGUCAAGUGACUGACCCAUGGAAAAGCUUAAAAUAAAUGCAACAAUUGUUUGUUCCCUCAUUUUUCUCCCACCUCUUCCCUCCUACAUGUACUGUAUUUUUUUGUCUUUUUCCAUCCACACUUGUGUACCUGUGUAUAUUUGUAUUUUAAAUCAGUAAUCUCAAUUUGCAAACAUAUUUGGUUAUAUUAUUAAAGGUUAUCACAGGCCAAAACCUUGUACUUUAACUUAAGCACAAUGUGAGGCUUAGUUGUUGUUGUUGUUAGUGUUGCUACUUUUACAGGAUCUGAACAGGUCUCCCAAAUUUCACCUUAAUGGCUUGAGUAAGUAAAACUCUGUCUGACAGUAUCUCAUAUUGUGUAUCAGUCUACACUGUGUAAUAAAGUAUAAACAGUGCGCUAUUGUCCUUAUUUUGUGUAGUGAGACUGGGAAAUGUGAAUAGGAUGGUCCGUAGGUGCAAAACAAAACAUUUACUCAGAUGCUAAUAAAGGACUCAGUAAAGAGCAGUAAUGGGAAAGCAACCUUUUGCAGUAAUAAUAAGCCUCCGAUAUGAAAGUAGCCUCCCUAAUCUAUCGAAGCUGAUCACCUGUUCGUAUCAUCAGUCGCAUUUCAAUCUCGCAUUUCAUUUGAAUCGGCUAACGAGGCGAGCUGGACAACUUGUUUGUACGUUGCUGUGAAGAAAGGUUCAAAAUGUGCGUUAACUGUCAGGCAGUUCUGUUAAACAUCUCUCUACCUUCAGCCAUGAAGCUGUCCAUGGCUCUGAGUUUUCUAUGACGUAUUUAUGACCUCUGAACAUUUUUUCUGAAACAUGCAACAGCAUGGAGCAACAGUGGCAUAACACAGCGACUCAGUGUGGACAGGAAGGUAGCCUGCACUGUAAUGCCGACGUGUUGGGGUCAGUAAACUCACAUGGCACAGCAGGCUCACAAACACUGCAUAAACAAGUGAAAAGGACAAAAAA